ensembl:lincRNA
CAUAAAAGUUUUGAAAAUGUCAUCUUAAAACUGUGUGAGGGAGCAAAUGGGUUUUCCAAUCCUGAGGGGCGACUGGAUGUACUGGGGUGAGGGAGCUUCACAGAGGAGGUGCUGAGAGCUGCCCCUCGACAGGAGAAAGGUGUCUGCCAGUCGGACAAGGGCCCAGCCAGUUGCCCACUGGAGGCUGAGGUUUUAGGAGCAAAAGGCUGGCUCCUGGCACACUCACUAGGGUGCCCAUUACCAUAGCAACUGAUAUCAUGGCCAUUUGGUAGACACCCAAGUGGGCGGAGCAGCUUUGUGACGGUCAACAGUGCAGCUGCAGAUGGCACCGCCCUUUGCUGGCCCCUGGUGAGUGUGUGUGCAUGGCUCUCUCCUUUCUCGGUGGCAGCGGUUGUUCAGUGGCAUCCUGAAUUACCCUGGCUUCAAACUCCAACUGCCUUUCCUUGCCCCACAUGCAGUCCUAGAGCCCACAGCGUGCUAAGAGGACAGGACCACUGUGCACCCCCAGGCUUCUGGAAAUCAGGUGGCACUUUCCAUCCUUGCCACUCAAGAGGAUCAAGACAAUGAGGCCGAGUUUGAAAACUGGACAAGAAGAAGCUCAAAAAGAGCAGAGCAGAGGCUUUAUCUUUUGUUGUCUUAGUGAGAAGGAAAAUCUUUGGUAAAGUUGGUAUAUGGGAGCGGGUCUUGGCCUGGAGGGUUUCCAAUGGACUUGAAAAGAUACUUGGGCCUUUUUGCCAUCUGAACCCAGCUCAGAAGUUUGUAGGGGAAGCAAAUUUGAACUGCAGACCUCAAAAUUGUAUUUGUGUUGACUGGGGAGCCACAGAGCCAGGUGUGCAAAGUCUGUUGAGAACUGGGUGGCUCCACGACAGCUGUCCUCCAAGCAGUGACUCAGGGAUCAUGGUGUGGCUUUGUGAUCCGAGCUGGCUCAGGUACUUCUAGUCAUGUGGACAGAAGAGAAAGAGUACAAGGAGCACCAGGUUCUUAACCGCCUGAAUCAGAAGUGCGACGCCCUUGGCUACAACCAUCUUGCCACCCUCCUAACUGCGGAAGGAGCCCAUGGAUACUGGUGAGCACAGCACCCUCUGCAGCGCCUCAGUGUCCAAGCUCUUCAGCAAAUCCCCCUCUCCACUCCUAGAGAAACUUCUUUUCUACACAUAUCCCUUAGGAACGGUCUGAAACGUACACGAUACUAAGGUAAAAAGGAAGUAUAAAUGAGUGACAUGUACUCUUCCUCAGAAAUACACUGUUUUAGGCAGGCUAAACAUCUUAACCUAAGACACAGCUCUUUCAGCUACUACUUUAAUGCAGAAGGAUAAGCUUCUGCUGAGCGAUGCUGGAGUUCUGCUAAUUUCCAGGCUCCUGAAAUGCAGGUGAACGUAGGUAAGGAUGGCCUUGCUGACGGCUCAGCACCACACAGUACCCAGGCCCAACCCUGGCCUUAGAGGCCAUCACUCUUGGGAGUAACAAGCGUGGAAGGCGUUCUCACGGGAGAUCCCCAUGUUAAAUGAGGAGAGAGCUCAGUCUUUGGUUCCUCUGGCCCCGUGCUUGUCCCAUUUGCCUUUUAAUUUUCUGAUCAGACGUAUGCUUGGGGUUUUGAGCUCACAAACGGUGUGGGUGAUUCCCAGUGGGUAGCUCUGUCGUUCAGUGGGUGACCCUGAACUUUAUUUUUUGUGCUCUGAUUUAGAACAGAACUCUACAGAAAGAAGAUGAGAAAAAGUCUUCUUGGCUCACAAUUACAAUGUAAAUCAGUAACGAAGCUUUAAGUUCAGUGUGUGGGGAAAAACAUUGCUUUCUGUCCAUCUAUCUCCUGGUUCCAAUUUCUAAGACCCAAGAAGACAGCUGGAGAGAACGAAGAGGAAAUAAAAUUGUAGGGAACUUGGGAGAAAUAAUCAAAGGGAGGUUGAACUCAGGAUGGAAACAUCAGGCCAAGGUAGCACCCUGAAGGCCCGUUGCCAGCCCUGGUGCCCGUAUGUGUUUUGAUUGGCCUCUUGUUUGUUGGUCCACACAGUAUUUUGAAGAAAAUAUGAAUUAGUAGCCAACUUUUAAAUACCUGGAGAUUUCAUAUAAAAAGUCAGAUUUCUGCUUUCUCUUGAAAAAUUAGAGUUUGGAGCAGCAAUAAGCCCAUAUUCCAGCAAAGCAACAGUCGGCCUGAGCCCAGCAGGGGCUGCCCCUUCAGACAGGGCAGGGCUUGUCCCCUUCAAGUUGACGAUGGCCCUACCCCUCCCUAUGGCUCCCUGCACAAGCCUCCAUGUCACUCCUCUUCAUCUGGGAUUUCUCAGUCCUGGUGGGUCUGAGAAAUCACAGUUGCUUGGACUCCGGAGGGAUUUGAGUCUGUAAGCCCUGACCUGGGGAACGUCUAUGCUUUGCAAGUUGCUGAAGAGCACUGAAGGCAGUGAUGGAUUGGUGAUGACAGACACCUGAAUACAAGGGAAGAGCAGGAGAAUAGAGUCACGGGAGUCUCAUUGCUUCAGAGAAUUCAUGCGUUUUGAUGGUCAUGUGUCAGGAGGAUAAACUGGGACUCCUUCUGUCUCCGUUGUCACUGAUGCCCCAAAGGCCAAGCCUGGUGCAGUUUGAUAGCUAUGCCCUUCUUGUCCUCUUUUCAACUACUGGUAAUAAACUUUACUGAAACCGGAUU